GCAUNCNUNCGNUGUGNGNCACUNNUUCUNAACAUGCAAGUCGAACGAUGAACCUCCUUCGGGAGGGGAUUAGUGGCGAACGGGUGAGUAACACGUGGGCAAUCUGCCCUUCACUCUGGGACAAGCCCUGGAAACGGGGUCUAAUACCGGAUACGACACGGGGUCGCAUGACCUCCGUGUGGAAAGCUCCGGCGGUGAAGGAUGAGCCCGCGGCCUAUCAGCUUGUUGGUGGGGUGAUGGCCUACCAAGGCGACGACGGGUAGCCGGCCUGAGAGGGCGACCGGCCACACUGGGACUGAGACACGGCCCAGACUCCUACGGGAGGCAGCAGUGGGGAAUAUUGCACAAUGGGCGAAAGCCUGAUGCAGCGACGCCGCGUGAGGGAUGACGGCCUUCGGGUUGUAAACCUCUUUCAGCAGGGAAGAAGCGAGAGUGACGGUACCUGCAGAAGAAGCGCCGGCUAACUACGUGCCAGCAGCCGCGGUAAUACGUAGGGCGCAAGCGUUGUCCGGAAUUAUUGGGCGUAAAGAGCUCGUAGGCGGCUUGUCACGUCGGAUGUGAAAGCCCGGGGCUUAACCCCGGGUCUGCAUUCGAUACGGGCAGGCUAGAGUUCGGUAGGGGAGAUCGGAAUUCCUGGUGUAGCGGUGAAAUGCGCAGAUAUCAGGAGGAACACCGGUGGCGAAGGCGGAUCUCUGGGCCGAUACUGACGCUGAGGAGCGAAAGCGUGGGGAGCGAACAGGAUUAGAUACCCUGGUAGUCCACGCCGUAAACGUUGGGAACUAGGUGUGGGCGACAUUCCACGUNGUCCGUGCCGCAGCUAACGCAUUAAGUUNCCCCCCCUGGGGAGUNCCGGCGCNAGGCUNAAACUCAAANGAAUUGACNGGGGCCCCCNCNAACCNNCGGANCUGUGGNUUUAUUCGACCCACCCGAANAACCUUACNAGGCUUGCAUACCCCGGAAACCCUGGNAANNGGUCCCCCUUGGGNCCGGGUNNAGGNGGGNCUG
rnacentral:rRNA from 1 species